AGCUUCCUACGGGGCGCAGCAGUGAGGAAUAUUGGUCAAUGGGAGAGAUCCUGAACCAGCCACGCCGCGUGAGGGAAGACGGCCCUAUGGGUUGUAAACCUCUUUUGUCGGAGAACAAAACCCGGGACGUGUCCAGGACUGCGUGUAUCCGAAGAAAAAGCAUCGGCUAACUCCGUGCCAGCAGCAGCGGUAAUACGGAGGAUGCGAGCGUUAUCCGGAUUUAUUGGGUUUA
rnacentral:rRNA from 1 species